rnacentral:piRNA from 1 species
AGGGAAAUGCACUGGGGGAGGUUAUCCCAGA